UCCCUACGGGGGGCAGCAGUGAGGAAUAUUGGUCAAUGGGCGCGAGCCUGAACCAGCCAAGUCGCGUGAGGGAAGACGGUCCUAUGGAUUGUAAACCUCUUUUGUCGGGGAGCAAAAAGGCCUCGUGAGGCCACAAGUGAGAGUACCCGAAGAAAAAGCAUCGGCUAACUCCGUGCCAGCAGCCGCGGUAAUACGGAGGAUGCGAGCGUUAUCCGGAUUUAUUGGGUUUAAAGGGUGCGUAGGCGGAUCGUUAAGUCAGUGGUCAAAUUGAGGGGCUCAACCCCUUCCCGCCAUUGAAACUGGCG
rnacentral:rRNA from 1 species